rnacentral:lncRNA from 1 species
UUCUAGAGAGCUUCUAGAGAGAAAAACCCUCGCAUUCUUCUAGAGAGAAAAACUCACACUUUUCUCAUGCCUAGAUUUGAGUGAGGGGAGAUUGAGUGAAAGAACAAUGGGUAGACCAGCCACAUAGUGCUUUAUGUUGUUUCUGAUUCCUCUUUGACUACUUUAUCGACUUGGAAACGAUUUGGGAACAUCCAAAUUGAAGGUAUAUUGCUUUUAUUCUAUAGAUCUAAUUAUUAUAAUUCUUAUUUGAUGUCAUAUCUUUUGUUAUUUUAGAUUUAAACAAGCUUAGGGUAGAUUUCAUGUACCCUACUAGAUCUAGGGUUAGGAAAUGAAGCAAUAUGAUAUUCCUAGCAAUGAUACUUUUGGAAAGAGGCUUAAUUUGAAUCCCCCUACCUAUUUCUGAUAAGAAACAUCCAUUUUGAACUUAAAAACAUGACAAAUAAGUAUGCACAAUGGUUGAGUUGAAAAUUGGUUGGAAAUUUCAAACUUACCUUUUUUUAUUUUGAACUCGCUUGAUUUUGACACUUAUGAGUUUGAAAUUGAUUUUUUACUUACUGUAAUUUUGAAGUCAACUACUGGUGAUCAAGUUAUUAGCUUCAAAACAUGUUGAAACUAGUUCCAAGUGCCUCCAUCCAAUUUGUAAAACAUGAUACUUAUUUACAACUUGUAAUAUUUAAGUCUUUUAGGUUGUUUAUAACUUUUCUUUGUAAUAAGUGGCCAAUCGGAGCAUGCCAUAUGUGAGGUUAUUGAAUUUAUCAUAUAAACUCUUAUAGUUCUAGGUUUAAGGAAGGGGAUUGAACAUAAGAAAGAUAUUGAUUUCUAUUCUUGAAAUUCUUCAAUAAAUUUUUAGGUUUUCUUUUAUUUUCUAUUCUUUUCCAUUCUAUUUUCUUGAAAACCAAACAUGGGUUGUGAGAAGAAAUCCUUCACCAUGUUUGUCUAAUUUUAUGAGUUUCAGAGAUGCUAAUAAGUGAAGAAUCGAAAAAAGCAGUGGUAAAAAAUGAUAAUAUAUUAAAUGAUUUGAUUAUGCUUUCAAGUUUGAAUUGGUAGGAAUAAAUCCUCCAUGUUAGUUCACCUUAGAUAAGGUACAAAGGAUUCUUACCUAGAUCCUAUCGAUUCUUAGAAAUACCUUGAUCUCUUGUAACCAUAAUUUGAUCAUACUUUUAACGAAUCCGAGGAUCGAAUCUACAAGAUAAAUAUAUGGUUUGAUUAAAUAAAACUGAAAACCAAAAUUGACCAUCAUAUUUAAUUGGUUUAAGAGAUCCAUGUUUCAAAAAUAAAAAUCUAAGUCUCUCUAAUCUCCAACUAUAAAAAGGAUAAUAAUAAUAAUAAUAAGAAAAUUAUUAUUAUUAUUAUUAUUAUCUUGUUGGUAAAACCUCCCGGAGAAGAAAAUUUGUUAAAAUUAAGGAACUAAAUCUCUUGAAUUAAGCAACUAAAAUUGGGGAAUUUGAAAUUCAAAUUCCCUAUCUUCACUUAUAAAUAGAGGUGUCUUCUAUCAAGAAGGAAGAGAGGAAAUUUAGAAAUCAGAAAAAUCCAGAAAGGAAAAUCCUAAGGAGAAAAUCCAAAGGUAACUUUGUAUGGGGAAAUGGGCUUCACAACAAAAGAAAAAGCUUCAUCAAAUCUUUCUACAAGUUCGGUAAACGACAAAAGAAUUGCUACACGCAUUCUUCGCCAUUCAACAAGGUCAUUCGAGAAUAUGCCACUUGUGGCCCUCGAUUGAUCUUCGAAAUCAAGAAAACGUCGUCGUCAUCUUCCAAAGUGUGAUCAAGGCAAAAGAAUCAGAGGGAAAAUAUUCUUUUGGAAAGAAUAUUAUUUUUGAGAUUGUACCCACAAUAUUUUUAAUUUCAAUAAAUAUUUUAUUUGCAUUAUUUUCCUUUUUUUUUUGCUAAUUUCGUAGGCCUAAAAAAAUUUACGAAAUUUGUGCGUACAAAUUUUUGGCACUCUCGGUGGGACCUCUCUGCCUCUUAUCUCUUUUGAUUGAUCUCUACUUCAUCGAUGACACCCAAAAGAACUCAAGUUGUGCAUGUCAACAAGGGCAAUGCCAAGAUCGUCAUUGCACAAUUGACACAUGACACCGCUACGUACCCCAUGACUUGUAGCAAAGCAAAAUUAACAUCUUCAAUCUAAAAAAAACAAACAAGUGAGUCUACUUGUUUGCUAAAACAUGUAAGAACAUGUGAUGAGCACCAACCACUCAUCACCUUGGUCUCUUUGGGGGCAAAAAACCAUAGUCCUCGUAGUAGGGGAAAACUCCCUUCAACACUACAGGACUUUGGGGAUAGAUCUCCUUGCUCUGUUACCAAUGCCAACUCUAGCACCGGCUCACACAUCGGCUCUGUUCCGGUACGAAGUUACCUUUGGAUUUUCUCUUUAGGAUUUGCCUUUCUGGAUUUUUCUGAUUUCUGAAUUUCCUCCCCUCCUUCUUGAUAAAAGACACCUCUAUUUAUAGGUGAAGAUAGAGAAUUGAAAUUUCAAAUUCCCCAAUUUUAGUUGCUUAAUUCAAGGGAUUUAGUUCCUUAACUUUAGCAAAUUUUCUUCUCCGAAGGUUUUACCAACAAGAUAAUAAUAAUAAUAUUAUUAUUAUUAUUAUUAUUAUUAUUAUCCUUUUUUAUAGUUGGAGAUUAGAGAGACUUAUCCAUAAGAUGAUUUUUUUUUUGGAAGACCAAAUUAGUGGCAAUUUAAUCCACUAAUUUUUUUAUGUCCACACUCACAUUUCCAUCAAAGAUCAACUUGUUGAUACUCUUAUGAAACUGUCAUCUUGACAACGGUUGGAAAUUUUUUUGAUCCAAGACAAUUGUUUCCAAUAGAACCACUCUCUUGCAGGGAUGUUAGGAAAAAAUCCUCAUCAUAUCAUUACAUCACGUAAAAGGAAUUCAAUCCCUUAAUUCAAGCUUCUCCAGAGUCCAAAUAUAUAUCUACUAUCACUUUGCUAUAAAUUCUUCAAUUGUCUCCUAUAGUUCAGGAUUAGUCAACUUUCCUGAUUUUUUUCAGUGAUUCUUUCACUUGUUUCGAAUAUAUAGGGACAGAACAUGGGGUGAAUUGCAAUUGACCGCUCUCUAGUCUAUGAUGCAUGUCCUUUAAAGAAGUGGCGUUUUU